UCAACCGACAUUCAUCCUUGCCGGCCAUUAAACACUUUAAUCUUUUUUCUGUUAAGCCAACCCGGAGUGCGCGUAUCGAGCAGAUUGUUCCCUUUACAUCAAAUACUCAAAACCGAAACACAAACCCGCUGCCUGAAACAGCGGGUUUGUGCUU
rnacentral:antisense_RNA from 1 species